CCAAAAGGCCGAGAAUUACGCAGUUUCAUCGCGUAUAUAAAAGCACUCAGACACGAAGAAGCGACCAGACAACACGAAGCGCCAUCAUGGGUCUCUACGUGGUGAUGCUGUUACUGACAGUGACGCUCGGCCAAGUUUUCUGCGGUUUUAGUGGAGGCGGCUAUGGAGGUUCAUUUGGUGGGGGCGGCGGCGGCGGAUAUGGA